rnacentral:lncRNA from 1 species
ACUCAGUCGCUGCUUGAGCAGCAGGGGUAGCAUCCUUAAAUUUCAGGUUCCAAUUCUGCUUGCCAACAGAAAAAUUACCAUUACCAUCUCCAGGAAAUGAUUGCUCAUGUUCCAAUCUUUUAUCCUUGAAAACUAAGUGGCAUGAACCACCAUCAUAAACACAAUAUUGCCUUUAAAGUUCUACAACAGCUCUGGCAGCAAGGCUUGAGUGUUCUGCAAACUCAGCCGCUGCUUGAGCAGCAGAGGUAGCAUCCUUAAAUUUCAUGUAACAAUUCUGCCUACCAACAGAAAAUUUACCAUUACCAUCUCCAGGAAAUGAUUGCCCAAGUUCCAACCUUUCAUCCUUGAAACCUGAGUGGCAUGGACCACCACUAUCUGCAACACAAUCUUGCCUUGAAAGUUCUACAACAGUUCUGGCAGCUAGGCUUGCAUGUUCUGCAAACUCAGCCGCUGCUUGAGCAGCAGAGGUAGCAUCCAUAAAUUUCAUGUUCCAAUUCUGCCUGCCAAUAGAAAAUUUACCAUUACCAUCUCCAGGAAAUGAUUG